GGUGAAGAACGCAGCGAAAUGCGAUACGUAAUGUGAAUUGCAGAAUUCAGUGAAUCAUCGAAUCUUUGAACGCAUAUUGCGCUCUUUGGUAUUCCGAAGAGCAUGCUUGUUUGAGUAUCAGUAAACACCUCAAAGCUUUUGGAUUUUUUAAUCGAAAAGCUUUGGACUUGAGCAAUCCCAACACCAAUCUUUUUGAGAUCGGUGGCGGGUUGCUUGAAAUGCAGGUGCAGCUGGACAUUCUCCUGAGCUAAAAGCAUAUACAUUUAGUCCCGUCAAACGGAUUAUUACUUUUGCUGCAGCUAACAUAAAGGGAGUUUGACCGUAUUGGCUGACUGAUGCAGGAUUUCACAAGGGUCGGCAACGAUUCUUGUUAAACUCGAUCUCAAAUCAAGUAAGACUACCCGCUGAACUUAAGCAUAUCAAUAAGCGGAGGA
rnacentral:misc_RNA from 1 species